UUAUUUCGAGUGGCGGACGGGUGAGUAACGCGUGAGCAACCUGCCCUAUACCGGGGGAUACCAGUUGGAAACGACUGUUAAUACCGCAUAAGCGCACGAUAAGACAUCUUGUUGUGUGAAAAACUCCGGUGGUAUAGGAUGGGCUCGCGUAUGAUUAGCCAGUUGGCGGGGUAAAGGCCCACCAAAGCGACGAUCAUUAGCCGACCUGAGAGGGCGACCGGCCACAUUGGGACUGAGACACGGCCCAAACUCCUACGGGAGGCAGCAGUGGGGAAUAUUGCACAAUGGGCGAAAGCCUGAUGCAGCGACGCCGCGUGAGUGAGGAAGUAUUUCGGUAUGUAAAGCUCUAUCAGCAGGGAAGAAAGAAA
rnacentral:rRNA from 1 species